rnacentral:sRNA from 1 species
CAGGGACAAAAAGUCAUAAAUCCGAUGUAAGCUUGCUUACAAGAGGAUUUUUGACUUCUUGUCCCGCCAAAACAUGAGGAUGGCAGCGAUUUUCAAAGAAAAUCAGCGAAUCCGAAUGUUUUGUAGAAUUGCGAGAGUUGCAAAGCAACGGAGCAAUUCGU